UACAGAGGUCCCAAGCGUUGUUCGGAUUUACUGGGCGUAAAGGGUGCGUAGGUGGUUGGAUAAGUCUGAUGUGAAAUCUCCGGGCUCAACCCGGAAAUGGCAUUGGAUACUAUUUGACUAGAGGGUUGGAGGGGGGACUGGAAUACUUGGUGUAGCAGUGAAAUGCGUAGAUAUCAAGUGGAACACCAGUGGCGAAGGCGAGUCCCUGGACAGCUCCUGACGCUGAGGCACGAAAGCUAGGGGAGCAAACAGG
rnacentral:rRNA from 1 species